rnacentral:rRNA from 1 species
CCUACGGGUGGCAGCAGUGAGGAAUAUUGGUCAAUGGACGAGAGUCUGAACCAGCCAAGUAGCGUGAAGGAUGACUGCCCUAUGGGUUGUAAACUUCUUUUAUAUGGGAAUAAAAUGUUCCACGUGUGGGAUUUUGUAUGUACCAUAUGAAUAAGGAUCGGCUAACUCCGUGCCAGCAGCCGCGGUAAUACGGAGGAUCCGAGCGUUAUCCGGAUUUAUUGGGUUUAAAGGGAGCGUAGGUGGAUUGUUAAGUCAGUUGUGAAAGUUUGCGGCUCAACCCGAAAAUUGCAGUUGAAACUGGGAGUCCUGAGGAACGGAAAGGUUGGCGGAAUUCGUGGUGUAGCGGUGAAAUGCUUAGAUAUCACGAAGAACUCCGAUUGCGAAGGCAGUUCACUGGACUGCAACUGACACUGAGGCUCGAAAGUGUGGGUAUCAAACAGGAUUAGAUACCCGUGUAGUC